rnacentral:tRNA from 1 species
UGCCCCGGGUGAGGAUCGAACUCACGGCCUUCAGAUUAUGAGACUGACGCGCUGCCUACUGCGCUACCGAGGC